rnacentral:tRNA from 1 species
GGGGGUUGUGGCUCUGAGGCAGAGAAUCUGCUUUGAAUGCAGAAAGCCCCAGGUUCGAUCCCUGGCACCUUCA